rnacentral:rRNA from 1 species
CACUUAUCGGAGCAAAACCACUUCCUGGUUUUAUGCUAACUCUGGAUAACACUGCUUAUCGCAUGACCUUGCGUCGGCGAAAUUACAUUCAAGUAUCUGCCUUAUCUUCUUUCGAUGGUAGUGUAUUGGACUGCCAUGGUGUUGACGGGUAACGGAGAAUCAGGGUUCGACUCCGGAGAGGGAGCCUUAGAAACGGCUACCAGGUCUAAGGACAGCAGCAGGCGCGCAACUUAUCCACUGUUCAUUGAACGAGAUAGUGACGAGAAAUAACAAGUCCGUUCUCUAUGAGGUCGGACAUUGGAAUAGAUGAAAUCUAAACACUUUCAUGAGUACCUACGAGAGGGCAAGUCUGGUGCCAGCAGCCGCGGUAAUUCCAGCUCUCGUAAUGUAUAGAAUUAUUGUUGCGGUUAAAAAGUUCGUAGUUGGAUUUUCUACUGUUCGGGGGGUCGGCCCUAACGGGACGUACUCUUGGCAGUGUUUGCAUUCGCUUUGGAAGCAAUUUGAAAUUGAAUGCGGAUUACUUUGAACGGCUUAAGUGCUCAAGGCGAGUCUUCGGACUGAAUACCGGUGCAUGGAAUAAUGGAACAAGGUUUCGGCCGAGUUUUAUUGGUUUUGUCGGCUAAAACAAUGGUUAACAGGAACAGCUGGGGGCACUCGUAUCGCUGCGCGAGAGGUGGAAUUCGUGGACCGCAGCGAGACGCCCUAAAGCGAAGCCAUUUGCCAAGAGUGUUUUCAUUAAUCAAGAACG